AACUGCAAAGAAAGUGUGCACUACGUGGAAGCGAAUAUGUAAGGAACCUUCAAUGUGGCGAGUCAUUAACAUGUCAAAGGAUUGGGGAUUAUUUUACAUAGAUAGCGACUGGAGACUGCAGAAGUUAUGCCGACAUGCUGUUGAUCGUAGCCAAGGUGAACUCGUUGAAAUCAAUUUAGAGCACUUUGUUGAUGAUGACUUACUUGAGGACAUAGCAUAUAGUUCAGGAAAGCUGAAGAAGCUUAGUAUUGCAUGUUGCUAUUUUAUGGUAUGUGAUGGUUUAAAGCAGUUCGAAAGCUUCCAUUGUUAGAGGAGCUGAGUUUGACGCACACUGCCAUCACAACAAAAGGCAUUAAAGCUCUUGGACGCUCUUGCCCACGAUUGAAGUCGUUUGUAUUGAAUAACUCAUUGUAUAUGGGAUCAGGUGAUGACUUUGAUAGAGAAGAUGAAAGAAAUGAAGAGGCUCUAGCUAUUGCUAAAAACCUGCCUACCUUGCACCACCUCCAACUCAUUGGGAAUAGUAUGACAAAUAAAGGCCUCCAAGCUAUUCUUGAUGGUUGUCCUCAUCUUGUAUCUCUUGACUUGCGGCUGUGCGAAUAUAUAGCCUCAACGAAGUCUUGAGUAAUAGAAUUUCGGGGCAGAUUAAAGAUGUGAAGUACCCUCAAGACUCUCUGGCGGGUUUGAAAUUUUCAUUUGAGGCUUGUUGGGAUGAGGAUUCGUCUGAUUACAUGUCUGAUGAUUACUGACUACUAGUGGUUGUUUGUAGCAUUAGCCUCAUUUAUGAAGUUGCGGGCAUUUUUUGGACAUUGGAAUAUGAACGGUUCUGCAGGUGUCCGAGGGAGAUGAUAUGGGGAGUUUUUUGUAUUAUGCGUCCCCUCUCCUCUUGUAUCAAUUUUUGUUAAAGAUCUCCUUGGGACUAAGUUCCUAAAGAAAUCAGUAUGUAAUGACUAUGUAGUAUCAUAUCAUAUAAUAUUAAAAGUGGGAAGCUCAUAUCUUUAAAGUU